rnacentral:rRNA from 1 species
CAGCAGCCGCGGUAAUACGUAGGGUGCGAGCGUUAAUCGGAAUUACUGGGCGUAAAGCGAGCGCAGACGGUUACUUAAGCAGGAUGUGAAAUCCCCGGGCUCAACCUGGGAACUGCGUUCUGAACUGGGUGACUAGAGUGUGUCAGAGGGAGGUAGAAUUCCACGUGUAGCAGUGAAAUGCGUAGAGAUGUGGAGGAAUACCGAUGGCGAAGGCAGCCUCCUGGGAUAACACUGACGUUCAUGCUCGAAAGCGUGGGUAGCAAACAGGAUUAGAUACCCUGGUAGUCCACGCCCUAAACGAUGUCAAUUAGCUGUUGGGCAACUUGAUUGCUUAGUAGCGUAGCUAACGCGUGAAAUUGACCGCCUGGGGAGUACGGUCGCAAGAUUAAAACUCAAAGGAAUUGACGGGGACCCGCACAAGCGGUGGAUGAUGUGGAUUAAUUCGAUGCAACGCGAAGAACCUUACCUGGUCUUGACAUGUACGGAAUCCUCCAGAGACGGAGGAGUGCCUUCGGGAGCCGUAACACAGGUGCUGCAUGGCUGUCGUCAGCUCGUGUCGUGAGAUGUUGGGUUAAGUCCCGCAACGAGCGCAACCCUUGUCAUUAGUUGCCAUCAUUAAGUUGGGCACUCUAAUGAGACUGCCGGUGACAAGCCGGAGGAAGGUGGGGAUGACGUCAAGUCCUCAUGGCCCUUAUGACCAGGGCUUCACACGUCAUACAAUGGUCGGUACAGAGGGUAGCCAAGCCGCGAGGUGGAGCCAAUCUCACAAAACCGAUCGUAGUCCGGAUUGCACUCUGCAACUCGAGUGCAUGAAGUCGGAAUCGCUAGUAAUCGCAGGUCAGCAUACUGCGGUGAAUACGUUCCCGGGUCUUGUACACACCGCCCGUCACACCAUGGGAGUGGGGGAUACCAGAAGUAGGUAGGGUAACCGCAAGGAGCCCGCUUACCACGGUAUGCUUCAUGACUGGGGUGAAGUCGUAACAAGGUAGCCGU